UAGCCGAUUUUAGGGCCCGCACGCAGUCGC
rnacentral:sRNA from 1 species